CACUGCGGCGCGACAUCAACUACCUAAAGAACCAAGAGAAAGAACCCAACCCCACCCAACCCACCCCGGUGGCCACCUGACGGACCCCAAGGGCUUUCGGGGCCUCGUCACUCACACGGGUGACAUUUCCCAACUCAGCUCGCUUUUGCGUGGGUUGCCCGGCAUAUGCUCACGCCAGAUCACAUCCCACACAUACGUCGGCCCCCGACCGGGAGUGCAAUCCCAACCGAGGGCCUGGCCACCAAGGAAGUUAGGGCUUCCCG
rnacentral:ncRNA from 1 species